AGUCGGCCGGACGGCCGCUCCGGCAGGUGCCGAAAGGCCGCCGGGGAGGAAAGUCCGGGCUCCCUUGACAUGCGGUGCCGGAUAACGUCCGGCGGGGGUGACCCCAGGGAAAGUGCCACAGAGAACGAACCGCUCCCUCUUCGGAGGAAGUAAGGGUGAAAAGGUGCGGUAAGAGCGCACCGCGGCGCCGGCAACGGAGCCGGCAGGGCAAACCCCACCGGGAGCAAAACCGAAUAGGGACGGCAGAUGCGGGCUGAUCGCGAAAGCGAUAACGCCGCGGGGCGAUGUCAGGCCCGCCGUCCGGGUAGGUUGCUCGAGGCCAUGUGCAAACAUGGUCCCAGAGGAAUGGCCGUCACGUAUCGUUCGUGCAAACGGGCGGUGCCCUACAGAACCCGGCUUACAGGCCGGCUGA
rnacentral:RNase_P_RNA from 1 species